rnacentral:rRNA from 1 species
UCGACGGUAAGGCCCUUCCGGGUACACGAAUGGCGAACGGGUGAAUAACACGUGGGUGAUCUGCCCUGCACUUCCGGAUAAGCCCGGGAAACUGGGUCUAAUACCGGAUAGGACUGCCCGGUGCAUGCCGUGUGGUGGAAAGAUUUAUCGGUGCAGGAUGGGCCCGCGGCCUAUCAACUUGUUGGUGGGGUAAUGGCCUACCAAGGCGACCACCGGUAACCGGCCUGAAAAGGCGACCGGCCACACUGGGACUGAAACACCGCCCAAACUCCUACCGGAGGCAGCAAUGGGGAAUAUUGCACAAUGGGCGCAAGCCUGAUGCAACCACCCCCCGUGAGGGAUGAAGGCCUUCGGGUUGUAAACCUCUUUCAACAAGGACCAAACCUGAGUGACGGUACCUGCAAAAAAAGCACCGGCCAACUACCUGCCAACAGCCGCGGUAAUACCUAAGGUGCAAGCGUUGUCCGGAAUUACUGGGCGUAAAGAGCUCGUAAGCGGUUUGUCCCGUCCUCUGUGAAAACCAACAACUCAACUGUUGGCUUGCAAGCGAUACCGGCAGACUUGAGUAUUUCAGGGGAGACUGGAAUUCCUGGUGUAACGGUGAAAUGCCCAAAUAUCAAGAAGAACACC